rnacentral:misc_RNA from 1 species
GAUGAAGAACGCAGCGAAAUGCGAUAAGUAAUUUGAAUUGCAGAAUUCAGUGAAUCAUCGAAUCUUUGAACGCACAUUGCGCCCGCCAGUAUUCUGGCGGGCAUGCCUGUUCGAGCGUCAUUUCAACCAUCAAGCCCCAGGCUUGUGUUGGGGACCUGCGGCUGCCGCAGGCCCUGAAAACCAGUGGCGGGCUCGCUGUCACACCGGGCGUAGUAGAUUUUAUCUCGCUCAGGGCGUGCUGCGGGUCCCGGCCGUUAAAAGCCUUUUUUUACCCAAGGUUGACCUCGGAUCAGGUAGGAAGACCCGCUGAACUUAAGCAUAUCAAUAAGCGGAGGA